AGUUGAUCCUGGCUCAGGACGAACGCUGGCGGCGUGCUUAACACAUGCAAGUCGAACGGACGAAUGAGAGAAGUUUACUUUCUAUGAGUUAGUGGCGGACGGGUGAGUAACACGUGGAUAAUCUACCUGCAACACCGGGAUAACGCUGUGAAAACGGUGCUAAUACCGGAUACCUUCUUGAGAUCGCAUGGUCAUAAGAAGAAAGCUCCGACGGUUGCAGAUGAGUCCGCGGCUGAUUAGCUAGUUGGUGAGGUAACGGCCCACCAAGGCGAUGAUCAGUAGCCGGCCUGAGAGGGUGAACGGCCACACUGGGACUGAGACACGGCCCAGACUCCUACGGGAGGCAGCAGUGGGGAAUCUUCCGCAAUGAGCGAAAGCCUGACGGAGCCAACGCCGCGUGAGUGAAGAAGGCCUUCGGGUUGUAAAGCUCUGUCUUAUGGGACGAAGAAAGUGACGGUACCAUAGGAGGAAGCCACGGCUAACUACGUGCCAGCAGCUGC
rnacentral:rRNA from 1 species